GACGAACGCUGGCGGCGCGCCUAACACAUGCAAGUCGAACGAGCGAGAGAGAGCUUGCUUUCUUGAGCGAGUGGCGAACGGGUGAGUAACGCGUGAGGAACCUGCCUCAAAGAGGGGGACAACAGUUGGAAACGACUGCUAAUACCGCAUAAGCCCACGACCCGGCAUCGGGUUGAGGGAAAAGGAGCAAUCCGCCUUGAGAUGGCCUCGCGUCCGAUUAGCUAGUUGGUGAGGUAACGGCCCACCAAGGCGACGAUCGGUAGCCGGACUGAGAGGUUGAACGGCCACAUUGGGACUGAGACACGGCCCAGACUCCUACGGGAGGCAGCAGUGGGGAAUAUUGCACAAUGGGGGAAACCCUGAUGCAGCGACGCCGCGUGGAGGAAGAAGGUCUUCGGAUUGUAAACUCCUGUUGUUGAGGAAGAUAAUGACGGUACUCAACAAGGAAGUGACGGCUAACUACGUG
rnacentral:rRNA from 1 species